rnacentral:lncRNA from 1 species
GAAUUCAGCUAGGAUCAUUGUGACGGAGGAGCUACCGCUGAUGAGUGAGUUGUGUGAAGUGAAUUAGUGCUCGAAGCCUAUUUUUUCCAUACUGGGGAAACACUCUUCUGGGAGCACUCUUCCCUCUACUAGUUUAUUCCCACCUUUAUUAGGGUUCUACUGGAGUACUUGAUCUUCCUGUAUAAUGCACAAGUCUGUGUCUAUACUUGGAGAUAACUUGGUGUGUGGCUACCAGCAUGUGCAGCUUUCCCUAAAAGCUCCUUGAAGUAUUUGUGUUUAGACCACAAGUACUUCUGCAUAUAUAAGAUUGAGUUGGCUGUGCUACUAAGACACCUAUGCUUGUGGACUUCCCAAUACUGCCCUCCACUGUCUAGUCAAUAAUACGGUACUUUUGCACCCAUAACUUCAAGAUUCCACUAACAAUUGAAAGGUUGUUGAGACAUAAUAAAGAAAGAGGGACGUAAGGCUCAUUUUUUUUCCGAGCAUCCAGUGAGGUUUUGUUGACUGUGAGUACACAGCAGGUUUAGGUCAGUUUAUAUUUUCACUAAAACAGUUUCACUGGGGACACAAGUUGCCUUAUUUCACAGUGGAAAUUAAGGUUUAUCUGAAUGAUUUUGAGAAGGAUUUAACACCCUCCUAGAAGUCACUGCUGUGUUUUUAGGCAUAUACCUGCUACUAAAAUGACUACUUAGGUGGUUCAACAUUAGAAGGAAGUUAGAUACAAAUGUAAAUGCUCUCUGAGUUAGAGACAGGUAGGUUAAAGUGGCAUAAAACUUCUAGGGUCAUUUAUUUAGUCACUGAAAUCAUUAAUACUAACUAGCAGAAUUUGAAAUUCACAUGCAGUCUUUCUACCAGUACAUUUUUAAUCUGCCUUUUGGUCUGACUUCAGGGCAUUUAAUAACUGCAUGUAUUGCUGCACCAGUGAUUUACCAAUACUUAAUUCACAUUGCGGUUUAGUGGUUUAGCCCUCUAAAUCAGACAAUGUAUUAAUCUGUCUCAUGUUAACAUUUAUAUAAACAAAACAAAUCUAUUAAAUGCAGCUACUUGUAAAGGUUAAUUGAACAGUGACAUGCCAAUAAAGUGUGAUUUGCUUACUCCUGUAUUGAAUAAUUUAGUGAAAAGUCAUACCUUUAUUUUUCAUGGGUUUCUCUGUUACAAGCCCAUCCCUCUAUUGCGGUUGCCCUGUAGAUAGUUUCUUUUUUUCCAUUUGGAGAUACCCUGCUAAAGUUGUGGUAGGAUCAUUUGUUGCUAUUGGAAAAUAUAAGGACCUGCAUAUUUGGUCUUUUCCAGCCUGGCCAGAGCCUCUGGUGGGACCAGAAAUGCUCCUUGGCUACUCCACAGUAGGAGGUGUACGGCCCUGAGCAGGAGCCCUCUUGACGGGCCAGGAAGAAAAUUUACUCAGAGAAGCAGCCCCCUGGAUUAUAUGUUCCUUUUUAGGUGCCAAGGAGACGUCUGUCUUUGAGGGAUAUAAAAAUAAUUAGAUAACACUUCCUUUGGGGAACUGCUUUGUUUCAAAAUGCAUGCAAUACCAUCACUGCUGUAUUCAUACAUAAUUAAUAGUUUAUCACAAUAGCAUUUCCUCUGAACUGAGGGCUGUGAGCUUUCAUCUCCUCAAACCUUUGUGUGCCUCAGGAGCUUGGUUUUGCUGCUGAGCUCAUGGAUGAGCAAAUUUCCUAGCACCUACUGCAACUUUCCAGCAGCUCAAAUGCCGAUUUUCAAGUAUUUGACUCAUGCUGGCUUAAAAUCUACAAAAACUCCCAUUGUUGCCCAUUCUGCUUCUAUCUUCUUUGGUAUAUGCCUAGAAAUCACUUGGUGUUUGGGUUUGUAAGCAAAAGAAACUUUGUGCCUUUACCUAGUUUGCUGUAUGCUGUCUCCUCCAGUCUCUGCUUCAGCUACCUACCGAAAGCAAAUGUAGACUUUCUGUGUGAAUGGUGUGACUGUUUUCAUUUUACUGUAAAGCUUGGUGCUUACUGUUGUACAAUUCUGCAUUGAGGAAACCAUUACAUUCUGUCUUAAUUCACUUUAUGCAGGUGCCUAAAUUGAGAAGCCGUAAAGAACUAUAUAAAACCAUGUAUUAAAAAUCAUUCUUCAGCAUGUAAGGAAAAUGCAGCAGUAAACUUGAAAUCUUUCUUUUGUCACACAAGAGAAUUAAAACAAUAAUGGGAGACAGAGAUCCACCAAUAUGUUGAUAACAAACUAAAAAGCCUUUGACA